GGUUAAGCGACUAAGCGUACACGGUGGAUGCCCUGGCAGUCAGAGGCGAUGAAGGACGUGCUAAUCUGCGAAAAGCGUCGGUAAGGUGAUAUGAACCGUUAUAGCCGGCGAUGUCCGAAUGGGGAAACCCAGUGCAAUUCGUUGCACUAUCGUUAACUGAAUACAUAGGUUAACGAGGCGAACCGGGGGAACUGAAACAUCUAAGUACCCCGAGGAAAAGAAAUCAACCGAGAUUCCCCCAGUAGCGGCGAGCGAACGGGGAGCAGCCCAGAGUCUGAAUCAGCUUGUGUGUUAGUGGAACGGUCUGGAAAGUCCGACGGUACAGGGUGAUAGUCCCGUACACCAAAAUGCACAGGUUGUGAACUCGAAGAGUAGGGCGGGACACGUGGUAUCCUGUCUGAAUAUGGGGGGACCAUCCUCCAAGGCUAAAUACUCCUGACUGACCGAUAGUGAACCAGUACCGUGAGGGAAAGGCGAAAAGAACCCCGGCGAGGGGAGUGAAAAAGAACCUGAAACCGUGUACGUACAAGCAGUGGGAGCACCUUCGGGUGUGACUGCGUACCUUUUGUAUAAUGGGUCAGCGACUUAUAUUCUGUAGCAAGGUUAACCGUAUAGGGGAGCCGCAGGGAAACCGAGUCUUAACUGGGCGUUAAGUUGCAGGGUAUAGACCCGAAACCCGGUGAUCUAGCCAUGGGCAGGUUGAAGGUUGGGUAACACUAACUGGAGGACCGAACCGACUAAUGUUGAAAAAUUAGCGGAUGACUUGUGGCUGGGGGUGAAAGGCCAAUCAAACCGGGAGAUAGCUGGUUCUCCCCGAAAGCUAUUUAGGUAGCGCCUCGUGAACUCAUCUUCGGGGGUAGAGCACUGUUUCGGCUAGGGGGUCAUCCCGACUUACCAACCCGAUGCAAACUACGAAUACCGAAGAAUGUUAUCACGGGAGACACACGGCGGGUGCUAACGUCCGUCGUGAAGAGGGAAACAACCCAGACCGCCAGCUAAGGUCCCAAAGUCAUGGUUAAGUGGGAAACGAUGUGGGAAGGCACAGACAGCCAGGAUGUUGGCUUAGAAGCAGCCAUCAUUUAAAGAAAGCGUAAUAGCUCACUGGUCGAGUCGGCCUGCGCGGAAGAUGUAACGGGGCUAAACCAUGCACCGAAGCUGCGGCAGCGACACUAUGUGUUGUUGGGUAGGGGAGCGUUCUGUAAGCCUGCGAAGGUGACCUGUGAGGGUUGCUGGAGGUAUCAGAAGUGCGAAUGCUGACAUAAGUAACGAUAAAGCGGGUGAAAAGCCCGCUCGCCGGAAGACCAAGGGUUCCUGUCCAACGUUAAUCGGGGCAGGGUGAGUCGACCCCUAAGGCGAGGCCGAAAGGCGUAGUCGAUGGGAAACAGGUUAAUAUUCCUGUACUUGGUGUUACUGCGAAGGGGGGACGGAGAAGGCUAUGUUAGCCGGGCGACGGUUGUCCCGGUUUAAGCAUGUAGGCUGAUUGUCCAGGCAAAUCCGGAUAAUCAAGGCUGAGGUGUGAUGACGAGGCACUACGGUGCUGAAGUAACAAAUGCCCUGCUUCCAGGAAAAGCCUCUAAGCAUCAGGUAACAUUAAAUCGUACCCCAAACCGACACAGGUGGUCAGGUAGAGAAUACCAAGGCGCUUGAGAGAACUCGGGUGAAGGAACUAGGCAAAAUGGUGCCGUAACUUCGGGAGAAGGCACGCUGGUGUGUAGGUGAAGCCCCUGCGGGUGGAGCUGAGACCAGUCGAAGAUACCAGCUGGCUGCAACUGUUUAUUAAAAACACAGCACUGUGCAAACACGAAAGUGGACGUAUACGGUGUGACGCCUGCCCGGUGCCGGAAGGUUAAUUGAUGGGGUUAUCCGUAAGGAGAAGCUCUUGAUCGAAGCCCCGGUAAACGGCGGCCGUAACUAUAACGGUCCUAAGGUAGCGAAAUUCCUUGUCGGGUAAGUUCCGACCUGCACGAAUGGCGUAAUGAUGGCCAGGCUGUCUCCACCCGAGACUCAGUGAAAUUGAACUCGCUGUGAAGAUGCAGUGUACCCGCGGCAAGACGGAAAGACCCCGUGAACCUUUACUAUAGCUUGACACUGAACAUUGAGCCUUGAUGUGUAGGAUAGGUGGGAGGCUUUGAAGCGUGGACGCCAGUCUGCGUGGAGCCAACCUUGAAAUACCACCCUUUAAUGUUUGAUGUUCUAACGUUGGCCCCUGACCGGGGUUGCGGACAGUGUCUGGUGGGUAGUUUGACUGGGGCGGUCUCCUCCCAAAGCGUAACGGAGGAGCACGAAGGUUAGCUAAUCCUGGUCGGACAUCAGGAGGUUAGUGCAAUGGCAUAAGCUAGCUUGACUGCGAGCGUGACGGCGCGAGCAGGUGCGAAAGCAGGUCAUAGUGAUCCGGUGGUUCUGAAUGGAAGGGCCAUCGCUCAACGGAUAAAAGGUACUCCGGGGAUAACAGGCUGAUACCGCCCAAGAGUUCAUAUCGACGGCGGUGUUUGGCACCUCGAUGUCGGCUCAUCACAUCCUGGGGCUGAAGUAGGUCCCAAGGGUAUGGCUGUUCGCCAUUUAAAGUGGUACGCGAGCUGGGUUUAGAACGUCGUGAGACAGUUCGGUCCCUAUCUGCCGUGGGCGCUGGAGAAUAGAGGGGGGCUGCUCCUAGUACGAGAGGACCGGAGUGGACGCAUCACUGGUGUUCGGGUUGUCAUGCCAAUGGCACUGCCCGGUAGCUAAAUGCGGAAGAGAUAAGUGCUGAAAGCAUCUAAGCACGAAACUUGCCCCGAGAUGAGUUCUCCCUGAGACUAUAAGUCUCCUGAAGGAACGUUAAAGACGAUGACGUUGAUAGGCCGGGUGUGUAAGCGCAGCGAUGCGUUGAGCUAACCGGUACUAAUGAACCGUGAGGCUUAACCUUAC
rnacentral:rRNA from 1 species